rnacentral:rRNA from 1 species
GCUAAGUGGGAUAUUAUCUGUCGACCCAAAGACCAAGGUGGGCUUGGUAUUGAGAAUCUAGAGGUUAAGAACAGAUGCCUUCUUAGUAAGUGGUUGUGGAAGCUCGCGUCCGGUACUGAAGCAAUGUGGGCGCAAAUCAUUCGCAGCAAGUACCUCCAGACUAGAACGUUAUCGCAGGUAUCAGUUAGGCCGACUGAUUCGCUUUUCUGGAAGGGACUAAUGAAAGUCAAAGUAUUACUGUUUAAUAGGACAAAAGUGGUCCUUGGAAAUGGUGCUACUACACGUUUCUGGGAGGAUUCUUGGCUGGGUGACUCGCCCUUGGCUAUGCAGUAUCCUUCUUUAUAUCGUAUUGCGCAACGACGAGAGGUGUUCGUGGCAACGGUAUUUCAAACUAUCCCCCUUAAUAUUCAGUUUAGACGGUCGCUAGUGGGCAAUCGUUGGGAGGUUUGGCUCCAGUUAGUAAGGAGACUAAUGGAGGUCCAACUCUCUGACCAACCUGAUGUAUUACGCUGGAAGUUGACCAAGAAUGGGGUAUUUACAGUGAGGUCAAUGUAUCUUGAUGUUAUUAACUCAAGUUCUAUUCCAACGUCCAAAAAGGUAUGGGAUGUUAAAGUUCCUUUGAAAAUAAAAGUGUUUAUGUGGUUUGUGCAUAAACAAGUCAUUCUCACAAAGGACAAUUUGAUAAAGCGUAAUUGGACAGGACCUACUAGGUGUAGUUUCUGUGAUCGAGAUGAGACAAUUAAACAUCUCUUUUUUGAUUGCCCGCUAGCUAAGGUUCUAUGGCAGACGGUGCAUAUUGCCUUUAAUAUUACUCCACCCACCACGGUUACCGCUUUAUUUGGGACUUGGCUUAAUGGGAUUGAUUCUGCAUUAGCAAGGCAUAUUCGGGUGGGAGUUUGUGCGUUGAUGUGGACCAUCUGGUUGUGCAGAAAUGAUUUAGUUUUUAACAGAACACCACGAAUUCAUUUUUUGCAGGUUCUAUUCCGAGCUACGGCUUUGAUCCGUUUGUGGUCGUCACUCACUCCGAUGGAGGCCAGGGAGUAUUUGGUUACUGGGUCUACCCGAUGGGAGAUGGCUGCUCGGGUUAUCUUCAACCGGUUU